rnacentral:rRNA from 1 species
AUUGAACGGCUGGCGGGAAUGCUUUACACAUGCAAGUCGAGCGGCAGCGCGGGGCAACCUGGCGGCGAGCGGCGAACGGGUGAGUAACAUAUCGGAACGUACCCAGUCGUGGGGGAUAACUAUCCGAAAGGAUAGCUAAUACCGCAUACGACCUGAGGGUGAAAGCGGGGGACCGAAAGGCCUCGCGCGAUUGGAGCGGCCGAUAUCGGAUUAGCUAGUUGGUGAGGUAAAGGCUCACCAAGGCGACGAUCCGUAGCUGGUCUGAGAGGACGACCAGCCACACUGGAACUGAGACACGGUCCAGACUCCUACGGGAGGCAGCAGUGGGGAAUUUUGGACAAUGGGGGCAACCCUGAUCCAGCCAUUCCGCGUGAGUGAAGAAGGCCUUCGGGUUGUAAAGCUCUUUCGGCAGGAACGAAACGGUGGUCCCUAAUACGGGCUACUAAUGACGGUACCUGAAGAAGAAGCACCGGCUAACUACGUG